GUGCUGUAUCAGUUAAAAUGUGGCGCAUGCCUGUGAAAAACAAACGCAGUUAUCAAGGUUAUCUGACUUAAAGGUUUAAUACGACUUCUAAUUGCGUUUAACAAGUGAUAACAGUCGCAUGACUGUUACCAAAAUUCUGUUAUCUAAUUCUACCCGGACAUUUUUUACACAUCAGAAAGCUGAAGCAAAUUUGUUUUUCAAGCUGCAAGUCUUUUAUGCAGGCAACUCAACACUCGCAUCCAACUUAUUAAAAUAUACGUAUUACGUUUGUCUUCGACGUUGCUAUUAUAUUUAAAAUUUCAGAAGACGAUUCUACGCUUUAGGAAUCAAAGAUGGAAUCGUCUUCUUUACAAUGGGAUGUAUGUUGGCAUUAUGAGAAAAUCCGUGCUGUUAUGCAUAAAUUCGGAGGAUUAGUAACAGUUCGGAAUAAAUAUAAAUGGAGAUAUUUUAAUAGACGCACAUGGAUUUAUUGUACUGAUAAGAGCAAAAGUCUGUUUGUAAAUGCAGUGGAAGUUCAGAAAAAAGGAAACCAAUUAAGCAAAAUUUUAAGAUAUUUUUAUGGCUGGGGGAUGGCUUUAUUGAUGGCUGUAGUCUUCCAAAUGGAUUAUCGUACUUUAAUACAAUGUACGAUAAUCUAUUUGGAAGAAUAUAUCCGCAAUCCUUCUCUAAUCAGAAGAUUGCAAGAAUUAUAUAAUUAAAAUAAUGGUUGGAAACAUUCUUAUUAGGAUGUGAGCAUCCUUAUGCAGCGGCACCACUAUGAAAGUUUCUGUUUCUAUCAACAGCGGUCGAUUGGCGUAAAGGCGAAGGAGCCUUUAUGAUGGGACACCGCUAGGAAGCUGUCAGGCAUCAAGCCAUGAGUUACCAACAUGAGGCAAUACAGUAAAUGUAGAGAGAUUAUUAAAAGAAAAUUAAAUCGAAGGGCCCGAAAACCUGUCAAGUCCUAAACUUACCGAUGACUUGUGCACUGAUAAUCACCUACAGAGGCUCACAGAAGUUUUCGUAUACUUACGAGUUUCAGUGAAAUAUUGUUUUAUUCAUUAAUAAAAAUUUAUAUUGUAGAAUGAAAAUUUGUAAAUAAUACUUAUAAAUAUCUCUAAGAAA